AAUCAUAACCUUUCCAAUGAUAUCUCACAUGACCCAUCUUGCAUAAAGCAUAUCUUAGUUAUGCCAUAUUCAUAUCAUAACAAUAUUUCUAUGAAGAAUAUGGGGUGUAACUUCACACUAAGCACCAACAACUCCAGUAAGGUCAAUAGGUGCUCAGCAUCUCUGAAAGUCAGGUCCAUGGUAUCUCUUGAGCACCCAAAAUAAGGGACCAUGUUGAGCUGAAAGUGGCUUGCAUAUUGCAGAGCUCCUCUACCUAAUCUCUGUAUUUAGAGUGCACCAGUCACCAUCGUAACUAUACACCAAGUGCUGGCAGUGGAACCCAGGUCUCCUGAUUCCCAUUCUUGAGCUGUAGUCACAAGACCAUUCUCAUAGCCCUCAGCCCCAAAACAUCCAUCCAUCCUGAGUAGAGCUAUGGGGCCAGAUUCUGUGCUCAGUUACACUGGUGAUGUGGUAGCCACCAGUCUGUGUGAUGGGUGUGUCUCUGAAUCCUCUCAUCUUUCAGGCUAAUGGCAGCCAAACCGGUGUCAGGGUUUAGCACCCCAGUCCGUCCUUCCAUAGCAGCUAGGCAGUCUUCUUGUUCUGCCUCUCACUGGAGUAGCCUAAGGUGGCAAAGGCCUGGUCUACGCUAAAAAGUUAGGUGAACCCAGUUAUGUUGCUCUGCGGUGUGAAAAAUUCACACUCCUGUGCAUGUAGUUAAGUUUACCUAACCCCCGGUGUAGAUGGCACUAUGCUGUUGAAAUAAUUAUUCUAUUGACCUAGCUACAGCCUCUUGGGGAGAGGUGGAUUACCUACACCACUCGGAGAACCCAUCCUGUCAGUGUAGCAGUGUCUACUGAAGCACUACAGUGGCGUAGCUGCAGCGUUUCAAGUGUCGAAGUCCAUGGCCUCUCUGAGGCACCAUGUUGCACAAGCCCUCAUGGAGCAGAAGAAAGCAAAAGAAGAUAGCUAAGAAGCCGGGCAGGGAGAUCAGACAGUGCCUCCCCACUCCUGUCUCCAUUGCAGACCCAUUCUAGGAGCAGUGUCUGCUUCCUUCACUACUUUGUGUGAUGACAAGGUGCUAGCAUUGUGCUUUUGCAGCUCCCCACCUGUACUGAGGAUUAAUGAGCAGCAGGUCAUUUGGAGGAACAGGACGUUUGGGAAGACCCAGUGGGCUCACACAGAGGAGCAGUCCCAGGAUGGGAGUUUAAUGGAGAUAGGAGGCAUGUAGUUCCUCCCAGCUUCAUCUGCCUUCUCCUCUGGGAUGGAUCUUCUUUCUCCCCUCUGCUUCCUGCUGGCUGGCAGCUGAGUUCUAGUCUCUGCUCCUAAGGCAGCUCAGUGCUGUUGUACAUGAUGUCACUCAGCCUGCUCCUAGGCUCCAUCAGGCUGAAAACCUGGUGCUUUCACUUGCCCAGAGAGCCCUUGGGCUUCUGGGCAUCAAGUCUUUUCCAAGCCUGCAGCAAUGUAACUGAGACCAGAACCUGAUGUGCAGUUUUGUCAUGGCCAUUUAUGGGGAAAGGCAUGGAACCACAGCUGGCAAAAUACUUGUGGGAAGCCCUAGGUGUGACUUGGUAAGCCAGGUAGCGUCUUCUGCCCAUUCUAUUGUGGCUAGCAAGACUAGUACACAUGCAUUUACUGAGAGGGAGAGGGAAUUCCCAGAUAUCCAGCAUGUUCCUCUCUCUAAAUUUCUAUACUACACAGAGAAAAUUCUUUUGAAAGAAUGGAAGCUUCUCAGCAAGGCAGCAUCAGAAGGAAGGUUUCUUAAUGCUGUAUGACAGCACAGCAGCAGGAGAGGGCUGGAGUAGGAAACACCAUUUCAAUCAGUCUGUUCUUCCCCCUUUUCUCCCUGUUCACAAAUCCCACAGAAUUUAGUAUCCAGUUCAAAUGUAGAAAGAAAGCAUGGGGCAAAUCACUUCUCAGCCACAACAGCGGAGAGAAUCUGGCCCAGCUGCUCCCCCCGAAUUAGAAAGAAAAGUAUUGUAUCCUAACAGAGUUAGGCAAUUGCAAGCUCCCUUAUAUCUUGUUUAGGGCAAUGCUAGGGAGAGCCCAUAUGUCAGGUUGCUGAACCAUGGGAAGCUGAGCAGGAAAUGAGUCUCUCUCUGUGUAAGAGUUUGCUGGGAAGCGUGAGCACUGCACACUACCCCGCAGCAUUGUCCUGGGUUAGUGUCAGGGAAAAGCAGGUUCCUUUCAAACUUUUCUGCAGUGAAGGCUUGUCUGUGCAUAGAGUUGUGAUCUAGGGAUGGCUUGGUGCCACGAAACAGAGAGCACAGGGGUGCAUAAGGGUCACAGGGAUCCCCUGGGUCUGUCUUACGUAUUCACCAAAGAGCAUCGUGUAAGGACUUUAAUGAAAGCGUCUGUCACACUAGUCCUCAUAAUCCUUGAGAAGUGUGUGUAGGGAUAAUAGGUAAGGAGGUGUGUGUGUGUGUGUGUGUGUGUAUACACACACACACUGAAAAUUAUGUUCCUAUGGUCUGUGACUUGGGGCUGGUCACCAGAAAAGGUGAGAAACAGGGCAAGAGAUGUUUAUCUACCUGUCUGUUUACAUGUAAAUUGAAUAUUGUAUGUUUCACAAUGGGUACCCAGUUACAGUCUGAGCACAGUGCUAAUCAAGUGAUUGCAGUUUCCCGGGGAGACCCUGGACAGGAAAACCCCAGCAGUGGGGGCUAGCUUCUUGACAAGUGCAAACAGUGGAGGUUCGGGCUAUAACUGUAGAGACAAAGGCUUGUUUACACUUGAAGCACUGCAGCUGCACUGCUGUAGUGCUUCUAUGUAGACAGCGCUUAUACCAAUGGAAGAAUCCUUUCCAUCAACCCAUUGUUACCUAUGCCGGGGAUUAGUCAGUUUAUCUGUGUCUCAGGGCCUGGAUUUUUCAUGGAUUUCAUGGAUUUUAGCCCUGAGAGCUGUGGCUAUGAGGAUGUAACUUUUCAGUGUAGACCGUCCCAGAGAGAAACUGCAUCUUUCACUUGAGAAGUAAGCUGCCAGUGGGCUUGCUUCACAAGUAGAAGAUCACAGCUAAUGGCUGGUCUACACUGGGAACGUACAUAGACGAGGUGGUGGUGGCGGCGGCAAGGUGCCCCUCAGCCCUAGGAAGCGUUACAGUUGUUCCUGAUUAAUUCCAUGAAUGGAUGCCCUUAUGCCAAUAUAAGAGUGCCUUGGUCCUCUUUGGCUUAGCUGACUUUGAAAGUGUGAUUCUAAGGAAGUUCCAACUGGGGUGUGUAAAAAAGGAAAUCAGACGGAGUGGGUACUAGUCAGACAUCCGCACUGGUCUGUCUGCCUGGUCCCUCUAGCUUUUUGCAUUAGGUUCCACACUCACCUUUUGAUUUCCUUUGACCAUUAGCGUGAAUUUGGCACUGGCCAAAGAUGCCAGUCUGAUGCCCCCUGUCAAGGAAAUCCUCUAAUGUACAGGAGGGGUGAACCCUAGGCAGAGGCAGUACAGGCUCCCUAUGCUGCCCUCCAGCAGGGCUUGCUGCUCAGGGUUGAGAGGACAGUGCAUUUUCCAUGUCUGUCUUGUGUCUAGCUUCCAUUUUGGUGGUGGGUUUGUGAUGGGAUGAGUCCACUUGCCCUCUGGGAUACAGCCUGAGACCACCAAACUGAGUUCAUAUAGGCAUUGAAAAGCCAUCAGGUGGGAAUGGCUCUUGGUCUCUCUGAGCUGUCUUUGACCUUAACAAUAAUAGUUAGUUUUCAGUAGUGCCCAAAAUGUGCUAGGCACUUUCCAAACAGAGGAGGACACUGCUCCUGCCCUGAACGCAUGCAGUCUAAAAAUGUGCCCUAGAUGGGAAAGGCAGCCUCUGUGUUCUGUUACUGAUCCCCCAAGCCAGCCAAACCCUCCACCUCUGUGAUCCCCUGAGGAGCAAUCCGUAUGUUUUAUUUAGUUUUGGUGGAUAACAGCGGGAGAGUGAUCUAGCAGUUAAAACAGAAGGGCUUGGUUUUGAAUCUAGCUUGCAGCCAGCUCCCCAUGUCUGAUGUUGAACAAAAUGCUUCCUUGUGCUUCAGUUAGUCAGACUGUAAAACAAUGGGUUUACAACAGCAAAAUCCAAAUUUGCUGAACACCAGAUCCAAAAUGGAGCAAGCUUUGCUGCGUAAACAAGUCACAGUAGCAAUCAUGCAUUUUUACAGAUGGGUUCCGGAACUGGAGUUUUUGGUAAUUUGCAUAGAGCCAGUGACUUCUUUCAUUGUUCCUGUACUGCUGCUGAGGUGCAUGGUGCUUUACAGGAACAAACACGAAGACACAGUCCCUGCCCUGAAGAGAUUACAGUCUAGGUUAUCAAAACAAGAGAACAGCAGAGUUUUGACAAAUUCUGGCCCAUUUAGAAUCUGUUGCAUGUUUUCUUCCUGUUUGUCUGUGUGUGGAAAAAGCUCCAAAGAGAAAAUCCAGCAGAUCAUUCAAAGGCUGUGCAUGAAUUUUUAAAACUGAAAUGGGAGCCUUGAUCACUAGCCAGAUACAUUUUUUCCCCCUGACUGAGGUUUUGAGAUGAGCAGACAAUGGGGUAACUUGAUGUGAGUAAAACCCAUUAAUGUUCAUGGCUAGGCUGCCGGUGGUGAUUAAUGUGUUCUAAUGGUCUCUGACUCUGUGAUUCAAAGAAUACUUAGCAGCCGGAACACACACUAGUCAGUAGCUUCUGCACCAAACUGUGCUGCAGUGCAGGUUACUACAUGGUUAGAGCAGGGCAUGCAAACCCAAGCGCACAGAGCACAAGCUGGGGCUGGGGAGUUGAGGCAGGAUUAUUCUGGGGGUAAGGCACUAGAUGGGGUGCUGGAGAUCAAGGUACAAUUCCCAUCUCUGCCACAGGCUCACUGUGUGACUUUGGACAAGUCACUUAUUCACUCUCUGCAUCAGUUUCCCAUCUGUAAAAUGGGGUAAUUUUGCCUUACCUCACAGGGGUGUUGUUAGAUAAAUCCACUAAUGCUUUUGAGGUGUGUGGAUACUGUGGAUGUGGGGGCCAUCUGAAGAGAGCGGGAGAUAAAGGGAUUGUAAAAGUAAUUUUGCUCCCUUGAUCUUGCUGCUACUGAUUCUCCUGCCUCAGGGCUGCUGUCACAGCCGAGUGGGGCUAAAAAUGCAGCGGAGGAUCAGCAUAGUGCAGGGUUGCCUUGGCCACAUCCCACUCUUCCAAGCCUGCUGCUGAGGGUGAGGUGGGUGGGGCCAAGGCACCCUGGCACUGUGGAGUUAAAAGGCAAAAAUUGGGUCUGUGCCAUUUAAGGGUACCCUUAGGCCAUUUCUAAACACCAAAACUGCACCACUUUAACUUAAAUCAAGUUUCAGACCAGUUCAUUUAAACUGGUGCAAAAUCCCGUGUCAGUGUUCUUAUUUCAGUUUGAGUGGCUUAUUGGCUUAGUUUAAACAAGACAGGUUUAUAACCAAGUUGAAAUUGAUUUGAAGUGUACACGCCACUUUUGCACUAGUUUUACGAAAUCAGUUUAAAAUCACACCUUCGUUUUACGUGCUGCAGCUUUGUGCAUAGACCACGGCUUGUUCUGGCUCUAGGGACACGUUUUGUCAAUGAUGCAGCAUAAUUUGGUCAUCAGAGAAUCUGUAGGGAACCUGGGAUAGUUCAUUCCGAACACACAAGCCUGCUUUCUGUAAUUUAGCGUGUGAUAUGUACGGUCUGUGACAGUAAGAUAUGUACGGUGACGUGAAAGCUUUCAUGAAUCAUUAAAAGUUCAUUAGAACCUGUCAGCUGCUGCUAGAUAAUGAACUGUCACAAGUAUGAGGCAUUUUACUGUGUCGCAGAGAUGUUCAGUGUGAUUGAAAUUGACCGCAGAGUUCUCGCUGUGCCUGGACCCCUCUCAGUGACAGGAAAGCUGCUUAGAUUUUGGUGUUAAUGAUGAUUCCAUGGUACGUUAAGGGCCUGAUCCCAAGAGAUCUCAGCUGCUAUUUACUUCAAGUGUGGGUGCUGGGCACCUCUCAGAAUCAAGUCCUAAAUAAAAAAAGUGCUUUUUUUUUUUUUUUUUUUUAAAAGUCCCAUUUCUGUUCCCACUGAACUCAAAUGCAAAUCUUGCAUAGAGUUCAGUUGGAGCAGUAUUAGGCCCUGAAGGGGGAGCCUGAUCUGAGCAGCAGAGAGGAAGCCAGGAAUCUUUAGAUUGUGAAACUCCCUUUUGAGCUGUAUGUAAGUGCCUGAGAGACUUUAGUUACUGGGAUACGGAUGCAGAAUUCUGUUUCAGGCAAGCUAAUAGAAUGCCUGAAGGGGCAAGUUGCCAGAUGGGGAACAAUCCUGCCAGUAGAUCUGGUGGUGUGUAGGUACUACAUUUGUGCCUCCAUCUCACUGGAAAUCAUUGGAUAAAGAGACAGAGGGACCCCUGACUAAGUCACUACACUUAUUGGGCUAACCCGUUAGAUAUUUCCAUGCACUCCCUUUGUUCUGCCCAGGGCCCGAGGAAAAGGAUGUGUGUUCUGACAAUCCAUGGCAGGGCCAUUGACAACUGAGAGAGUCUCCUAAUCUCCAGAAAGGCACAGUAUGUGGCAGGGAAAAGAGCAUGCUGGCAGAUGGGCUGAGCAGAGCCACUAUCCUGCCAGGAGUAAAGCCUUUAAAACAGGACGCCUUGUCAUGGCAGAGAAACAGGGUCAUCCUGUUAUCCACCAAAGGAAAUGACCCCAGACCGCACCUUACUGAUGGACGGGAAUCCAGGUACAGUCCUUCUGCCUCCCAGUGGGGAAAUUCCUCUUCUUAAUGCAGAAGGACCUAAUGAGAAAAAAAGAAAAUCAAUGAAGCUCAGGUCUGGGGGUGAAGAAUGGUCUUAUGGUUAAGGCAUGGGAUUGAGAGACUGGUUCUAUUCCUCGUCCUGAAUAGGCUUCCCAUACAGCCGUGCCUCAGUUUCCCCACAUGGGCAUUGUGUAAAAUGUUCUGUAGUACAUUCCAGAAGAUCUCAAAAGUACAAAAUAUUGUUAUUCAUCAGCUGCUUUUUGGUUGUGAUUCACUGAUUAUGCCCAGUUAUCACCUUUUCCAUCUCCCUUCGGUAGCGCACCACCUUCAUCUCCAUGAUGCUGCUGGCUAAGAUCUAGUUAUAUGUCUCUUGUGACUUGUAAACCAAACUUUGUACUUUUGGAUAAUCUAAGCACUAUAUCCAGAUGUACAGACACUCUUUCUUUAACCUGUUUAGUACAUCAUUUUAACGUUAACUUUAAUAAAAAUUUUAAAAUCUGAACCUUCCUGCACUGGAGAGAGUCCAUCCUGCACGUGCAGUGGGGUUGGAUGAACAGGUCUAGUCAGUGCUACAGUGACCAAGGCCAGGCACCGUGGCCUUCAACAAACGGCUCAUCUAUUUGCCUCAGAUUCCCCCUCCUACAAAAAGGCAAAGAGUACUUUUCCAUAUACCUCUCUCGGGCAUUGAAUGUCUGUGCAAUGUAUCCUGUGCCAAGUGGUGUGAUGGUAAGUAUCUCUUAGCAAUCUAUGGGCAAAUACUUUAGAAUGAAUGUAAGCUCCUUGGAGCAAGGACUGCACUGCCUGCUUCUGUGUUUGUGCAUUGCCUAGUGUGUUGCGGGAAACAAGUAAUAACCACUAAUUAACAGUAAUUAAGGGGAAAAAAAGUUGAUACACCUAUUUCCUGACUUCUAGCCCCAUUUAUCUGGCACAUAAAAGGAACUUCAUGGAAAAAUACCAUGCCAUUGUAUUUUUUUUUUUUUUUUUAGACCAUAAACACAAUAUCCAUGCUCAUGAGUUAUUAAUGAGUCAUUUCAUCCAAGAGGCCACAAAGGCAUCUGUUAGGCCAGCACAUAAUCAGGCAGUUCUUUAAAGAGCAUAUGAUGUACCCAGUAGACUGAAAUAGCUCAAAGGGUAAAAUUCUGUGUUCAGGGAAUUGUUUGUUUUUCUUAAUGCAAUUUAAGCAAUUUUAAAGGUCUGGAGGAAAUCAUCGAAAGUUAGGAAUGCAUGAUGACUGCUGACGCCUAAUGAUGCACAAAGCCUGAACUUUUACUUUCAGCUGAUGAAAGUCAGGAAAGGCAAACCUUGAACUCUAUUAAAACAAAAGAAAGGCAAUCUUCAAAGAACCUAUUAAAAGAAUCAACAGUUUCCAAAUAAAUAAUACAGACAUACCA